AUCGGCGACCUGGUGUCGGAUGGAUGAGACGCUAGACGCCGGUGUAUUCAGACGCGGUUGAAACGAGGACGAGGUUAAGUCGCGCGGUUUGCGUCGGCAACCAGCAAUAGAGGUAUCUUUAAAACCUCUUGCGUCGAAAAAAUAAAUCCACGGAAAUAAUCCAUUUUGAGAAGAACCUGUACAACAUCCCUGAAGACAAUUAGAAAAACCACGAGUGUAUAGAGGUCCAGCCUUUCAUCCCACUUUCCAGUGGAACUGUUUCUAAGUCAUAACAAUACAAACCAUGCAGUUUGACCCUGGUAGCUCGUUGGCGUAACGAUAAACAAUGAGAACUGCUUGCUUUGACCUCAACCUUUUGUUAUUCGUGACAUCGCAUCGGUGGACAGUAUUAUGCGUAAAACUUUGCUUCUCUUUCAAAAUGUCUUAUUUUCCUCUAUGUUCAUCAUUAGAGAUGAAUAUGUAUGUAUCAAAUUAUCAACGAACAACAAUUUCAUUAUAACGAAAUAAACACGUUAUGCUGUUGAAGGAAUAAUGUUUGGAGGCCUAAAUGUGUUCCAUAGCAAUGCCAACCGAGCUGCUUCUGGGGCAUAGUCCUCCAGUGUACAGCCCGCUUCUGUACAGUCCCCUGGUAGUAACGGCACCACCGAUUACCAGCAGGUCGGUGCCACCCAGGAUCAGGCCAUGUCUGUCGUCUGGUUCCCUGGCUAUCGAUAGUAUACGAAACAACAACGAUGGCAAUAAUAAGCAGAAAAAGAAGGUGGUGUUUGCUGACGAUCGUGGCCGUCCUCUUACUCAGGUCCGGGUAAUGUCGGAACCUAGCAACGUACCACCACUUUGGAGUACAGCAUACCUGUCCGGAUUAACUGGACGACUUUUAAAUUCAAAAGUAGAAAAUGACGAGCCCAGCGAGCUUAUGUCACCGUGGCAAGUUACGUUUCCCCAACCAGCCAGCGAUUAUCUUGCCUUUCGUCGGAAACUGGAUCAGGAAAAUGUCAGUUUAGAGAACGUGAUAGUAAAAGAAUCGGAACAGUGCAUCGUGGGCACUGUGAAGGUACGAAAUUUGGCGUACGACAAGGAAGUGGUGGUCAGAGCGAGCAACGAUUCUUGGAAGACCCACGAGGAUGUACAUUGUACUUACGUUGAACAACCUGGCGUUCCAGCUUUAAUUCUUUACGACACUUUCCGUUUUCGAUUAACUCUACCAUUAACAUCGAACGUAGUUGAGUUUUGUGUACGAUAUCGUACAGAUGGCAAGGAAUAUUGGGACAAUAACGACGGGACAAACUAUGUCGUUCGCAAAAAGCUAGAGCCUAGGGCACCACCGAAAAGGUACGAUAUUCUGACAACUUCCUGUGACGGAUUCUCGAACAACGGUGCACGGGACAACAUAACUCGAAUCACAGACGCGACAAGAGCGAAUAUGCGCACAUGGAGCGAAUUCGCGUCCUGGCAGCAUCUUACAAACGACACCCCGUACUGGUGAAUCUUCUUCAAGGACUCUCGUUAAGCGAUGUACGAAGUCGUACGAAUUCUUCCAGUUUACUUGGUUAAUCAGCGAGGCGUAGAUCACGCGGGACGAGGUGUUCUCACUACGUACACAACACGACACACGGAAAAGGAUGGUGUGUCACGACUGGACACCAGGAAUAGGGGAACGGAGAAGAGAAUAUUGACGAAAGAAGGGAAGCAAUCAAUUACGAUUCAUUUCACUUUGUAAAAGGACAUGCUUGCGCGGAAGGGAUACAUAAUCGGAGCUCGAUAGCGCGGAACAUAUGGGAAGGAGGCAAUGGUCGCGUUACAUUUAUGAUUGCAACGUGCAGCCAUCAACGCGUACAGAUAACAGUAGCCGUGCGAGACAACAGAUUAUUUCAAGAUCAGAUCAGAUCAGAUCAGAUUGGAUGGAUGAUUAGAAUUCUUAAAGCUUCCCUGACUCUACAAAUUCGAAGAUAUCGCCAUAAACGUCUUCUUCUCGAUCGUCAUCUUCCUUCUCCUCCUCUUCCUCUUUCCUGGAACUUGGCUGCCAUAGCCGAGGAUGUCCAUCAAGAUAAGUUUGCACCUUCAAAGUUGACCAAAUCUCGCUGGUCUCGCCCGUUCCUCUUUCUCUUUCUCUUUCUCUUUCUCUAAUUCUGUUGUCCCCGUUUUUAUGCCUUUCUUUCUUUCUUUCUUUCUUUCUCUUUCUUUGCUUAUUUUCUCUCUUUCUAUCUUUUUCUUUUUCUCUCUCUUUGCCUGUUACUUCUUUCAAUUCGUUUCAAACGUCGUACGAAUUCAAUACCUUUUUCUUUUUGGGCAUGAUCUUUGGAUUAUCAACGCGAGGUAACACAACAGCUUAGCUCAACGAUAAACAGUAAUUAAGAAGGGAUUAAGGAAAUGAAAAGAGACUACUGCGAGCGGUUUCAAACGCAACGGUCAAUCGUCAUUGAUCAUUUUAUUAAAAGAUCAAUGAAAAAAGCUACCUAUGAUCCGUAUUACAAAUUUAUUUAUAUCGACAAUAUGGAAUAAGAAAUAUAAAAUAACUGAAUGACGGUAUCCUUAAUAAUAAUUAUUAUUGUAUAUUGGUUAUGGCGGUCAACAAGAUUGUGUUAUUAUAUGCGUGACACGUUGCAAAUGUAACCGCUCGCAGGAACAAUUAUAAAAGUAAUUUGUUUCCGUGAAAGUAAUACCGUAUCGUUACCGUAAUUGUAUAUAGGUGUAAUUAUAAGAGAAGAAAAAAGAAAGGCCCGUUACCUUCCGAUGCGGGGAAUUACUAUAUGUUUUUGUUAUUUCACCGGUGCUAACUGCUGUCUCUUUAUUCAAAUGAUUUACGGAAUAACAACGUAAAGAGGCUAAAGUUACACGCGAUGUUAUUACGUUUGUAUCAAUCUCGUAUUGGUUGUUAUCGUCUGAUAAAUUGGUAUCAGUUACCACGGUUAUAGAAAUAGUCUCCUCGCGUGUCUCGAUUUCUGUACGACAAAUUAGCUGACAAUUAGGCGCGUCGAUACACUCUCUCUUCGUGUGUACAAUCUUUUCUUAUAAUCUUCAAUUUCAUAACGUUCAUUUUAUGGAUAACUUAACGUCGUGCUCGUAUCGUGGACACUAUUAAUUUGUGAUCAGAUGUUUCCAUGGACAGACUAAAAAUAGCACUUAAUCAACCAACAUUUUAUAAUCAUAAUCAAAAAUUGAAAAAAGAAACAUAUUUAUAUAAUUAAAAUUUAUUUUCAAAUAGUUCCGUGACACGUGUGUACUGCCAUGAGAAAAAACAAGAAGUUGCACAUCUUCAUUGAAAUUAGGAAAACUUUAUCAAUAGGAAUGAAUAUUCUUUUUGCUGCAUCCCAACUAAGAAAUUUUGAUUUACUAUCUUUCGCUUUAUUCUCUGUACUGUUUCUUCACCAAGUACAAAUCAUCGCAUGAUGGAAUGCAUGUCAUCGUAGUAUAUCUUUAUGUACGACCAGUUCGUAUGUGAAACAGUACAUGCACUCCCUCCUUUGACUUUUCUUGCCUCAAUUGUUGUAUUCGAAUAAACACUCAGGAAACGAGAUUUUCUUUGCAGGGACGUUGGCGUGUGAUGAUGACGAUUAUCUCGAGAUUGCGAGGAAAAGGACUGCGGGAAUGGACUCAGGAUAGGAGGGAGGGCAUCGAAUUAUAGUGUAUACGGGUGCGAUUAGGGAUCCUUUCAAAUCUGGGAACCACUGGAAAACUGACUACUACUACGACUACUACUACUACUACUACUACUACUACCACCAUCGCUACUACUACUGCUACUACUUUAGAAGCUAAUCACACGAUCCAGCUUAGACGUCUUUCAGUCAAUUUUUGCCUACUAUCAACAGCACCCAACCUCACUGAAAGGAGAGCAGUCUCUUCAUUGUUGAUGCCCUCUGUGUAAAAUUGAAGACAGAGGCAACACUCAGAAUGAUCUACUUAUUGAACUUAAAGUUGUUCCUCGCUGUACAUCAAUCCCUUCUGUGUCAUCAUGGUUAUUCUCGACAAUCUAAUACUCUUUUUUUCUUUUUUUUUUGUACUGUAUCUUGUACUCGAUUCAUUCCAGAUAUUGUACAGAAAAUCGUUUGCCAUUAAUAAAGUAGUUUAGUGAAGGAAGAAUAUUUCGAACGACUGAAUGUACAUAUAUAGAAGAAUCAAAAUCGAAGAAAAGCAAAUUAUUCUUCGAUAGUUUAUUCGUUUAUAUACUCGUAUACGUAUGUAAAUAAUACUGGCUCCUGAUAUUAAUUAUUUAAAUGGGAUUUAAUUUAGGUGAAAACAAUAACGACUUAUAUGUUUAAUGUCCUUUAGAGUGCAAUAGAGCUUUCUUCUUUCUUUCUCUUUCUUUCUUUGUAUAUAUAUAUGUAUAUGCAUCGCGAUAUAUUGUAUAUUAAUAGCGAUAGAUAAAUCGCAACGAGUUCAACGAACGGAGGGAAGCGCGUUGCACCGGUUUUAAUUCGCGUUUCAGCUAGCAGAGUUUAGCAAGCCUUCGAAAACGCCGUUAGGAUACUUCCGUGUCACAUUGCGUCCAAUAUAAUUAGAUGUAUUGUGUUCAUUUCACGUGAAUAACACCGUGCCGAGUAAGCGAAUAUGUUAAGAUAAAAUCUACAUUUGUACACGCUUAAACUGUUGCGCUGCGCUCGUUUGAAGAAAGGAGAGUUUCAACCAGUACUGUCAAACGUUAAAGUUUAAAAAAUUUAUCUACUUUAGUAAGCAAUCUAGGGAGAGGCCAAUACUAGGCGGUACUUGUUGGAAUUCUUCAACUAUUUUAUAGAUUAAUCGUUUGAAUGCUCUCAUAACGCGCUCACUUUGUGCUUAUCAAUUAUAAGAAUGUCUCAAAGUCAGUUUCAAGAAUUAUACAUAUUUUGACACGAACUAGUGGCAUUCAAACGGUGAAGUAAAUUCGUGCAACGUAAAAAAAGAGUAAUCGCUACUUACAAUACAACAAGGUCGUUACUUAAACCCUGAAGGAGCGAUGUACUAACAUAAGUGAUAUAAGGAUACUCAGGACCACAUACAGUGUUCUGUUUUAAGGGGUUCCAUUUUAAUACAUAUUGCUUGGAACACGUUUACACUUUACGAAACAUUUCCUAAAUUGCUCUUUCAUGUACCUUUGCCUCUUGAAGGCUUUCACGAUCUUGUUACGUUUUGUGGCGGCGACUAUUUUCACGAAGCUCCUUAAGAAUAAAUUUGCCUAGAUAUUUAAUAUAGUAAAGCGAGAUUAUUAACGAACACACGCAUAUAUAUAUAUACACACACACACACACAAACGAAAUGCGUUAUUUAAAUGUAGAAUUUCCUUUUGAGAGCCGUAAGACUGAUAACUUAACGCGGACCGCACAGGCUGUUGUAUAUAUAGUAUAUUAAUAAGAUGCGAGGCCGAAUUUCCGUAAAGCUUAACGACGCGAUUGAAACGUUUUUUUUAUUAGAAAAUUAUACGAUCGUUUCUUUUGAUCACGUCGAUGAGUUUUAUUGAAAGUUUUAUUCCUCAAAUUAGGGCACAUCCGGCGUUAAGUUGAUUCGUUAAAGUUCGUUUAAGGCUUUGCGAAAAUGUGAAAAAAGUUCCCGAAAAGAAAUUAAUAUAUCUUGGCUAGUUGUCAAACGUUACUUCGCGUUGUGAUUUUUUUUUUGUUAAAUAUAUGUAUUUCUCCCUUUUAUUGUAUAAUAAUUGUAAUAUUUGAAGCCUGAGUAUAGUCUAGAUAGAUUUAUGAUAAUAACAAUAAUAAUGUUAUCAGUUACUUGAUCGAUUUUUCUUUUUUUUUUUUAAUUAGUAUAUAACACGACUGCGAAUUUAUCAUUAUAUGAACGCGUUUUAUUCUUUGUAUAUGUAUACAAACGUCUGUUAUUGAAAAUUGUAAAUAUUCUAACGUGUUAUGUACUAUAUAUAUACAAUAUAUAUACACAUAUAUAUUUAGAGCGAUUAGAAAUAUUUUUUAGGUGGGAAUCAUUAUGUGCCGUAGAAGUUAUUAUUCUUAAGAUCGCGACAAAAGAGAAAUGCGUAAGACGAAAGGUACUAAACUAGAUAGGCUUUAGAAAUUAUGUUUCAUUAUUGAUGAUACAUAUUAGAAGAAAAUAUAUACGUAUACACAUAAAA